GGUUGGCUUGAAAUCCACCAAUCAGAGUGCUCUGUGUCAUUUUACACAGCGUGGGAAAGUUCUUUGGAAUUUUCCCACGCUGUGUAAAAUGACACAGAGCACUCUGAUUGGUGGAUUGCACGGAGCGGGGUGACGAUUUUUAUUUAUGGCCUCCACCCAC